AACGCGAAGAACCUUACCUGGGCUCGAACGGCUUCUCAACGAUCGUAGAAAUACGGUUAUCCCGCAAGGGAGUGGAGUCGAGGUGCUGCAUGGCUGUCGUCAGCUCGUGUCGUGAGAUGUUGGGUUAAGUCCCGCAACGAGCGCAACCCUUGUCCUGUGUUGCCAUCAUUCAGUUGGGAACUCGCAGGAGACCGCCAGCGAUAAGCUGGAGGAAGGUGGGGAUGACGUCAAGUCCUCAUGGCCUUUAUGUCCAGGGCUACACACGUGCUACAAUGGACGGUACAAAGCGUCGCUAACCCGCGAGGGGGAGCCAAUCGCAAAAAACCGUUCUCAGUUCGGAUUGCAGGCUGCAACUCGCCUGCAUGAAGCUGGAAUCGCUAGUAAUGGCAGAUCAGCACGCUGCCGUGAAUACGUUCCCGGGCCUUGUA
rnacentral:rRNA from 1 species